rnacentral:rRNA from 1 species
GACGGAGGGUGCAAGCGUUGUUCGGAUUGACUGGGCGUAAAGAGCGUGUAGGCGGUUGCCCAAGUCCGAUGGGAAAGCCCGAGGCUUAGCCUCGGAAGUGCAUCGGAAACUAGGCAGCUGGAGCGCGAUAGAGGAGGGUAGAAUUCCUGGUGUAGCGGUGAAAUGCGUAGAUAUCAGGAGGAAUACCGGCGGCGAAGGCGGCCCUCUGGAUCGUUGCUGACGCUGAGACGCGAAAGCGUGGGGAGCAAACAGG